rnacentral:rRNA from 1 species
AAUGAACGUUGGCGGCGUGGAUUAGGCAUGCAAGUCGUACGGGCCGCAAGGCCAGUGGCGCAAGGGUGAGUAAUGCGACGGUAACCAACCCCAUGGGUGGGUAUAGCCGCGGGAAACUGCGGGUAAUCCCCAGCGACGCACGAGACCGGCAUCGGUUUUGUGCCAAAGCUCAGGCGCCGUGGGACGGGCCGUCGUGGUAUUAGGUAGUUGGGGGGGUAACGGCCCACCAAGCCGACGAUGCCUACCGGGCGUGCGAGCGUGGCCCGGCACACAGGGACUGAGACACUGCCAGACUCCUACGGGAGGCUGCAGUCGAGAAUCUUCGGCAAUGGGCGCAAGCCUGACCGAGCGACGCCGCGUGGAGGACGAAGGCCUUCGGGUUGUAAACUCCUGUCGAGGGGAAAGAAGGCCGGGUAACCGGCUUGACUGAUCCCUGGAGGAAGCACGGGCUAAGUUCGUGCCAGCCGCCGCGGUAACAC